UGGUUAUCUUCAGCAGUUCAAUCAGAGCAUAGUAUAAGCAUGAGAAAGGAAGUAAAUGAAAAUGCAAAGUACAAAUUGAAAUUAAGCCUUGCAGAUUACUCGUUGUAAAACUUCGGUAGCAAUCAAAAUUGGAACUUCCUCCAAAACUGGUGCUCAUGGUUCGUACAAAGAUAUGAUAUUAAACCAGUAAUCAGAAACAGGCUUAAUAACAGGAAUUUGUUGACUUACCAACUCCUAGAACUCCACUAUCAG
rnacentral:misc_RNA from 1 species